UUGCUGCAAAAGCACGUGUUUGCAGACGAGAAAGGAUAGUUUAUAUUCCAGACAAUGGACGAGUUUCUGAAGUGAAAGUCCAAGGAAGAGAAGACAACGAGAAGUAGCUUUUUUGAUAGUAGCUGUUUCAUGAUUUAUAGGCCUACUGGGGAAACUCGCCACGUAAAAAAACGAGUAACACAUCCAGCUUGGUACCUCUAUGGUGAUGUGGAAAUCCGAGCAUUGUUAAUAAAGAAAUUAAUUCUG